rnacentral:rRNA from 1 species
UACGUAGGGCGCAAGCGUUGUCCGGAAUUAUUGGGCGUAAAGAGCUCGUAGGCGGCCUGUUGCGUCCGCUGUGAAAUCCCGGGGCUCAACCCCGGGCCUGCAGUGGAUACGGGCUGGCUGGAGGCAGGCAGGGGAGAACGGAAUUCCUGGUGUAGCGGUGGAAUGCGCAGAUAUCAGGAGGAACACCGGUGGCGAAGGCGGGUCUCUGGGCCGUUACUGACGCUGAGGAGCGAAAGCGUGGGGAGCGAACAGG